CUACGGAGUACAACGACUUAUAUAAUAAGUCACUUACCAGACUAUUAUUAUUUUAAAUAUUAAGUAAUUGUUAUGUACUAUGUUAAUAGUCCAUAGAUAUAUCUAGUUUUGAGAGAACUUUCUCUCUUAGUUCUUUGAAAACUGAAUAGUAAAGAUAUUACAACGACAUCAAAUUAAAUAAAUUAAAUUUUUGGUUAAUUUGUUUUGAUUGAUACCGAGUAAUUAUUACAUUAUGUAAUAAUUUAUUGAAAUGUCUUUGAAUAUACAUCAACAAUAGGACAUACUUAAAAUUAA
rnacentral:misc_RNA from 1 species